rnacentral:rRNA from 1 species
GUAGGUGGCAAGCGUUGUCCGGAUUUACUGGGCGUAAAGAGCGCGCAGGCGGUCGUUCAAGUCGCGUGUGAAAGCCCCCGGCUCAACUGGGGAGGGUCACGCGAUACUGAUCGACUCGAAGGCAGGAGAGGGUAGUGGAAUUCCCGGUGUAGUGGUGAAAUGCGUAGAUAUCGGGAGGAACACCAGUGGCGAAGGCGACUACCUGGCCUGUUCUUGACGCUGAGGCGCGAAAGCUAAGGGAGCAAACGGGAUUAGAUACCCCGGUAGUCCUAGCCGUAAACGAUGGACACUAGGCGUUGGUGGUAUCAACCCCGCCAGUGCCGAAGCUAACGCAUUAAGUGUCCCGCCUGGGGAGUACGGCCGCAAGGCUA